rnacentral:lncRNA from 1 species
GUUGUGACAUAGCCAUGUAGCCAUAAGCCUAGCAUGGAAAGAGGCAUGACUUGAAUUGUGGCAAGACAUGCAUGCCAACAUCCUCUUAAGGCAUGGCCUAAAGUGGCAUCGGAUACUAUGAAAAUUGAUGUAACGUAGGAAAAUGAAGGAAAUGCUAAUUGCUUCGAAAGUGAAGGUGGACUAUAUAGGGUGACACACCCUACUAUGGUGCAUGCUAAGGCGGUUCGAAUGGCGGAGUGCAGCCUCAUCCACCACAUGGCACGUGCUCGUUUCGCCACCAUGGUUGUUGCCAUGAUAGUAUAAUAAAA